rnacentral:rRNA from 1 species
CUCAGCUAGACCUUUCAGGAAUGGGAGGAACGAGGAGGACAGGUGGUGCGAUGGUUGUCGUCAGCUCGUGUCGUGAGAUGUUGGGUUAAGUCCCGCAACGAGCGCAACCCUUUACAGUUAGUUGCCAGCGGGCAAGCCGGGCACUCUAACUGAACUGCCGGUGACAAACCGGAGGAAGGUGGGGAUGACGUCAAAUCAUCAUGCCCCUUAUGCUCUGGGCUACACACGUGCUACAAUGGAUCGUACAGAGGGCAGCGAAGGAGCGAUUUGGAGCUAAUCUCAAAAAGCGAGCCACAGUUCGGAUUGCAGGCUGCAACUCGCCUGCAUGAAGUCGGAAUCGCUAGUAAUCGCGGAUCAGCAUGCCGCGGUGAAUACGUUCCCGGGCCUU